rnacentral:lncRNA from 1 species
CCUCUUCCUCUUUCUUCCACCGAACCCCGCUGCAUUAAUUCCUUCACGAAAUCCCCCCCCCGCCUCGAUUCCGGAGAUCUCUCUCCCCCCUCUCCUCCGAUCCGGCGCCCCCUCCCGCUUCGCCGGCGAGCAGCAGCGCCCCGCGGGCGGCGGGCCACUGAAUUGGAUUGGAUGUCUCGGGGGCGGUCGCUCGAUCGGGGGGGAGGUUGGCGAGGUGGUUCGGGGGUUCAGGUUUAGCGCGCGCCGCCGCCGAGGCUGAGGCGCUGAUGCGCGGCGGCGGCGGG